GUCANACCAUGCAGUCGAGCGGCAGCACAGGAGAACUUGGUCCCUUUGGAGGAGAGGGGGAGAGGGGAGUAAAGUGUGGGAAAAAGUGUGAGGUGGGGGGAGAUAUCUAGGGAAAAGGGGCUCUAACCCCGCAAAGCCUCACAAGACCAAAGGGGGACCUUCUCGCCUCUCGCGCCCUCAUGUGCCCCCAUAGGAUUAUAUCUUAUGUGGGGUAAUGGGUCUCCUCUGCGACAAUCCCCCUCUGGGGUGAGAGAAGAACCCCCCCCACUGUGACUGAGACACGCUCCCCACACCCCCAGGAGGGGNNCCACUGGGGAAAAUUGUGCACUAGGCGCGCACCUUGAGGCAGCCACUGUGCCGCGUGUAAAAAAAGCNNCUUCGCGUUGUAAAAAACUUUUUCAGCGGAGAGGAGGGUGGAGAUUAAUAAACCCCUCCACUUGNAUGACGUUACCCCGCAAAAAAAACACCGGCUAUAUCUCCGCGCCCACCAGCCGCGAUAUAUACGAGAGGGUGCAAGCGUUAAUCGCAAUUACUAGUGCGUAAAGCGCACACGCAGGCGGCUCUGUCAAGUCGCAUAUGAAAUCCCCGGGCUCACACCUGGGAACUGCACUCUCGAAACUGUGCACGCGAUAGACUCUGUGUAGAGGGGGGUAGAGAUCUCCAGUGUGUAGCGGUGAAAUGCGCAGAGAUCUGGAGGAAGUACAGGUGUGCGAAAGCGGCGCCCCUGUGCACAGACAGACUGACGCUCAGGUGCGAAAGCGUGUGGAGAGCAAACGAGGAUUAGAUACCCUGUGAUACUCCACCCCAUAAACGAUAUCGACUUGUGAGAUUGUGCGCUCGUGAGGCGUGUGCUUCCGAGAGCUAACGCGUUAUAGUCGACCAGCCUGUGGGAGUACAGCCGCAAGGUUAAAACUCAAAUGAGAUGUCACGGGGGCCCGCACACAGCGCUGGAGCAUGUGUGUUUAUAUCUCUGAUGCAACGCAGAAGAACCUUAUCCUACUACUNGUNGAUCAUCCAGACAACUUCAGCAGAUGAUGGUUGGUGGCGCUCUUCGGGANNACUCUGAGACAGNGCUGCUGCAUGGCUGNUCGUCAGCNUCCUCGUUGUGAAAGUGUUGGGUUAAGUCCCGCAACGAGGCGACAACCCUUAUCNCUUUGUNUGCCAGCGGUCCGGCCGNGGAACUCANAAGGAGNACUGCCAGUGNAUAAUACUGGAGGAAGGUGGGGAUGACGUCAAGNUCAUCAUGGCCNCUUACGAGNUNAGGGNNNCUACACNNNNNACGUGCUACAAUGGCGCAUACAAAGAGAAGCGACCUCGCGAGAGCAAGCGGACCUCAUAAAGUGCGUCGUAGUCCGGAUUGGAGUCUGCAACUCGACUCCAUGAAGUCGGAAUCGCUAGUAAUCGUAGAUCAGAAUGCUACGGUGAAUACGUUCCCGGGCCUUGUACACACCGCCCGUCACACCAUGGGAGUGGGUUGCAUAUAAGAAGUAGGUAGCUUAACCUUCGGGAGGGCGCUACNACNGUNG
rnacentral:rRNA from 1 species